UACGUAGGUGGCGAGCGUUGUCCGGAUUUACUGGGCGUAAAGGGCGUGCAGGCGGUUUGUUAAGUGCAGGGUGAAAGCUCCCGGCUCAACUGGGAGAGGUCCUUGCAUACUGGCGAACUCGAGGGAGGCAGAGGAAAGUGGAAUUCCCGGUGUAGCGGUGAAAUGUGUAGAGAUCGGGAGGAACACCGGUGGCGAAGGCGGGUCUCUGGGCAGCUCCUGACGCUGAGGCGCGAAAGCGUGGGGAGCAAACGGG
rnacentral:rRNA from 1 species